rnacentral:rRNA from 1 species
UCACCACUCAAGCCAUGCUUGACGUUGGGCCCUCGUCCCCUUGGGGCGUGCCCGAAAAUCAGUGGCGGCACUGUCCGGCUUCAAGCGGUAUCAAUUUGUCCUCGCUUUGGAAGUUUGGGACCUGAGCCUGCCAGACAACCCUCCCCCUUCUUAUCAA